AGAACGAACGCUGGCGGCAGGCUUAACACAUGCAAGUCGAACGCUCCGCAAGGAGAGUGGCAGACGGGUGAGUAACGCGUGGGAACCUUCCUAUCGGUUUGGAAUAGCUCAGGGAAACUUGGGGUAAUACCGGAUAAGCCCUACGGGGGAAAGAUUUAUCGCCAAUAGGUGGGCCCGCGUCUGAUUAGCUAGUUGGUGAGGUAACGGCUCACCAAGGCGACGAUCAGUAGCUGGUUUGAGAGAAUGACCAAGCCACACUGGGACUGAGACACGGCCCAGACUCCGUACGGGA
rnacentral:rRNA from 1 species